CCUACGGGGGGCAGCAGUGGGGAAUAUUGCACAAUGGGGGAAACCCUGAUGCAGCGACGCCGCGUGAGUGAAGAAGUCUUUCGGUACGUAAAGCUCUAUCAGCAGGGAAGAAAAUGACUGUACCUGACUAAUAAGCCCCGGCUAACUACGUGCCAGCAGCCGCGGUAAUACGUAGGGGGCAAGCGUUAUCCGGGUUUACUGGGUGUAAAGGGAGCGUAGACGGCAGCGCAAGUCUGGAGUGAAAUCCCAUGGCUUAACCAUGGAACUGCGUUUGAAACUGUGCAGCUAGAGUGCAGGAGAGGUAAGCGGAAUUCCUAGUGUAGCGGUGAAAUGCGUAGAUAUUAGGAGGAACACCAGUGGCGAAGGCGGCUUACUGGACUGUAACUGACGUUGAGGCUCGAAAGCGUGGGGAGCAAACAGGAUUAGAUACCCGAGUAGUC
rnacentral:rRNA from 1 species